CUAAGGAUUUGACUCCUAGGCAUUUCAUUCUAAGACUUAGCAUAAGACCUGUUUGUGUGUGUGUGUGUGUGUUUUCAUAUAAGACACCCAUUCUUGAAUAAGGAUUUAUCACUUUAUUGACCUGGACCAAUACAAACAAGCCAAUUGGCUAGUGGCAAUCAAGUUCACUUAAUGAAGACCAUGUCUAUUUUAGCUGACACCUUGAACCCUGAGUUCAUAAAGAUAAGAAUCAUGGGACCAAAAAAGAAAAAGAAAAAACAAUUAGCAAAAGAAAAACAUUAAAGCACAAAAGCUCUUCAUUGAUGUUGUUAUGCCCAUGGUUACCUAUACUUAGAGAAUUCUCCAACACUGUUACCUAUAACAUUCUGGAGAUAGGAAAGGAACUAGUACUUUUUGGAUGCAGGCAUGUCUUCUUUCAAAGGCUCUGGUAUGGGUAUGGUGGGAGGUACCCAUAACGAACAACAAUAAGAAAACCAUAAACAUUUUAUAUACAUGCGAAAAGGCAAACACAAUGAUAAAAUGUUUAGACUGAAGAAAUCAUGUGAAAUAAAAAGUAAAACUUAUUAGUAAUAUCUGUAAAAAAAUAAUUUUACUUGCCUUGAGCAGAUGCCCUAAUUUUUCUUUCCUUUGUGAGGGCACUAACUAAACUAAAAUGAUAAGAGGUUCACUUCCAGAAUGUAUUAUUCAGGAUAUUAUUUAUAUGUGUGUGUUUCUGUACUUAUAUAGCAUAGAAAGGAUAUAUGUUUAACUGGAGGAAGGAAAAAUCUUGGGAUCCAACCCCA